AUUGAACGCUGGCGGCAGGCCUAACACAUGCAAGUCGAGCGGAGCGGCGGACGGGUGAGUAAUGCCUAGGAAUCUGCCUGGUAGUGGGGGAUAACGUCCGGAAACGGGCGCUAAUACCGCAUACUAUCAGAUGAGCCUAGGUCGGAUUAGCUAGUUGGUGGGGUAAAGGCCUACCAAGGCGACGAUCCGUAACUGGUCUGAGAGGAUGAUCAGUCACAGGUGAACGGAGACAAGGACCAGCCGCCUACGGGAGGCAGCAGGGGGGAAUAUUGGACAAGGGGCGAUAGCCAAAUCCAGCCAAGCCGCGUGUGUGAAGAAGGUCUUCGGAUUGUAAAGCACUUUAAGUUGGGGGGCGGUACCAACAGAAUAAGCACCGGCUAACUUCGUGCCAGCAGCCGCGGUAAUUC
rnacentral:rRNA from 1 species